AUUGAACGCUGGCGGCAUGCUUUACACAUGCAAGUCGAACGGUAACAGGGAGCUUGCUCCGCUGACGAGUGGCGAACGGGUGAGUAAUGCGUCGGAACGUGCCGAGUAGUGGGGGAUAACGCAUCGAAAGGUGUGCUAAUACCGCAUACGAACUGAGGGUGAAAGUGGGGGACCUUCGGGCCUUACGCUCAUCGAGCGGCCGACGUCUGAUUAGCUAGUUGGUGAGGUAAAGGCUCACCAAGGCCACGAUCAGUAGCGGGUCUGAGAGGAUGAUCCGCCACACUGGGACUGAGACACGGCCCAGACUCCUACGGGAGGCAGCAGUGGGGAAUUUUGGACAAUGGGCGCAAGCCUGAUCCAGCCAUGCCGCGUGUCUGAAGAAGGCCUUCGGGUUGUAAAGGACUUUUGUCCGGGAGCAAAUGCUGGUGGCUAACAUCCACCGGAGCUGAGAGUACCGGAAGAAUAAGCACCGGCUAACUACGUGCCAGCAGCCGCAGUAACAC
rnacentral:rRNA from 1 species